AAUACGAACUCUCCAUCACGCGUUAAUCUCGAAUGAAUCACAGUGUGCUCCUCCGGACCGGGAGAUUUGUAGCUGCCGCAGUGGCUUGUUCCAACAGCGGACAUUUGAUGUUUGAGAUCCGGACGCGUCUGCAGUGCUGGAUUUUGCAGUUCUUCACAUCUGAAGUGAAUGAGAGCAACAGACCAACACUCUCUCUCUCUCUUCAUAAAACCCUGAGACCCUGACGGGAGACUUGUCAUCUUAAAAGAUUUUCUGUAAGGGCAUCUGAUUGGAUACUUGAGAACCCAGGAGCACCAACAAAAUCUCUGCAGCUGCACGGGAUGCAAUAUGAAAAUCUGGUCAUGAGCUGGUAUCUGAUGAGAAAUGUGGUCCUCGGAAGACACAAGCAAUUCCUGCCCUCUGGGAGGCUUUGCAUGGGAUCGCUCAGAUACGAAAUCUGAAAAUCUUUU